UAUGGCCAUACUAAUUUGAAAUAACAAUUCUCAUACGAUCACUGAAGUUAAGCAAUAUCAAGCCUGGUCAGUACCUAGUUGGGUGAUUGCUUGGGAAUACUAGGUGUUAU